rnacentral:lncRNA from 1 species
GAUCAGAGAAGAGUGCCAUACAACAGCUGAAAGUCUUUGGGAUUAUCGUGAAAUAUCCGAGGUCGAGGCUGGCAGAAGGCGCUUGAGGCUGGCACAUGGCACUUGAACAACAUCCCGAUGUGUCUCUCAUUAUUAUUAAGAAUUUAAAACUCAUUCACAGCGGCGGAGUUUAAACAAUGACGCAAAAUAGUACAUCGCGAUGCCGAAACCUGAACACAUCUCCCAAGCGUUGAAAAAGAUUCAACGCUUUGAUACUUUUCUUGCUGUACCAAAGAUGACUUACAAUAAGAAUUGUGCUCACUGAAAAUUGUGCUCAGCAAAAGCAACUUCUUGAAUCAACAUUACACGUUGGGGAAUGCAAAUGUUGAUUAACAUUAGCCGGCUUUGGUAGUACAAGGAAAGUACGGACGCGUUGGAUAUCAGUUAGGAGAGGCGUUCAGGGUUUCAGCAAAGCGUUGUGCUAUUUUACGUUAUCGUUUAAGCUCCGAAUUUCCAACCUUAAAAUCGUUACUAAAGGACCACCCUCAUGUCUAUUGUAGAGUAAAGCCUGGUUGUGCUUAUAUUUUCCUAAAGUGAUGCAUUGAAUAUAUUUCAAGAUCAUUCUGUAUCGAGAUAUCAAAGAACCAUGAUUUUUUUUUUUUUUUUUUUUUUUGAUAGAAUCAUUAGGAAUAUUUGUAAUUUUUUCCUUUCAACCACAGGGUAUCUCAAUUAAUUUCUUUGAUUUUGUAUAUUGUGCAAUAAGUCUGAAAACGUAAUAUAGCUUUGAUAGCAAUGAACAUUAUGAAUUUGAAAAUUGAUUAACCUAAAUAAAUAUGAACAUAUAAUGUCGAAAAAAAACAAUGUCGUAACUAUAAACGGACGAUGAGUGUAAAUUGUAUUAUCAGGGUAAGAAGCUUCCUCCAUAGCGAUAAUGAAAACCAAUACAGUUUUAUGAAAACACCUUGGCAAUACAAAAAAAAUAGUGCUGACCGAUUUAUGUAUUUUACGCUCGUUGUGGUUACUGUAGAUGGUUAAAAAUAAAUGUUUUGUCUUUGUUUCCAUACGAAAUAACAUAUUUAAUAAUGUAUCAACACUCGUGAGAACCAAAGGCAAAGGGGUCAGUGGAUGUAUGAAAUAGAAGAGAGUGAGAGGGGGAGGGAACAGAGAGAAGGUGGAGGAGAGACAGGACGAGACAGACAGACAGACAGACAGAGAAAGAGAAAGAAAAUGAGUCUCUGGACGAGUCUUGAGUGGUCACUCACGCUGCUUUGUUUGAUAGUUUUCCGUAAUUAACCCUAUGCCUGGCAAUGGACGUUUAUGACCUCGUUAGCCAAACUCCCAACACGGACUUCGUACACUACCAUAGACGGCUAUAGGUGCUUGUGAUAUGGAAGAUCACUAAAACAAAUCGAUAUAUACUCAAUUUAUUGUCACUUCCAGAUAUUUUAGUUAUUUCAAAAAAGGAAAUACAAUUUAUAAAAAGAAAACUGUGCCAAAUGAAAGAAAACGUAAAGGCAAGUAAUAAAGGCAUUAUAUCUGCAAUUUAGCUCCUUGUAUAUGCCAUCUAAGGCCCCAACUUAGGCUUCUACUAGCCUUUUCAAUGGACGGAUUAACCAGUCGUCGGGCAGACACC